UUAAGCGACUAAGCGUACACGGUGGAUGCCCUGGCAGUCAGAGGCGAUGAAGGACGUGCUAAUCUGCGAUAAGCGUCGGUAAGGUGAUAUGAACCGUUAUAACCGGCGAUUUCCGAAUGGGGAAACCCAGUGUGUUUCGACACACUAUCAUUAACUGAAUCCAUAGGUUAAUGAGGCGAACCGGGGGAACUGAAACAUCUAAGUACCCCGAGGAAAAGAAAUCAACCGAGAUUCCCCCAGUAGCGGCGAGCGAACGGGGAGGAGCCCAGAGCCUGAAUCAGUGUGUGUGUUAGUGGAAGCGUCUGGAAAGGCGCGCGAUACAGGGUGACAGCCCCGUACACAAAAAUGCACAUGCUGUGAGCUCGAUGAGUAGGGCGGGACACGUGGUAUCCUGUCUGAAUAUGGGGGGGCCAUCCUCCAAGGCUAAAUACUCCUGACUGACCGAUAGUGAACCAGUACCGUGAGGGAAAGGCGAAAAGAACCCCGGCGAGGGGAGUGAAAAAGAACCUGAAACCGUGUACGUACAAGCAGUGGGAGCCUCUUUUAUGGGGUGACUGCGUACCUUUUGUAUAAUGGGUCAGCGACUUAUAUUCUGUAGCAAGGUUAACCGAAUAGGGGAGCCGAAGGGAAACCGAGUCUUAACUGGGCGUUAAGUUGCAGGGUAUAGACCCGAAACCCGGUGAUCUAGCCAUGGGCAGGUUGAAGGUUGGGUAACACUAACUGGAGGACCGAACCGACUAAUGUUGAAAAAUUAGCGGAUGACUUGUGGCUGGGGGUGAAAGGCCAAUCAAACCGGGAGAUAGCUGGUUCUCCCCGAAAGCUAUUUAGGUAGCGCCUCGUGAAUUCAUCUCCGGGGGUAGAGCACUGUUUCGGCAAGGGGGUCAUCCCGACUUACCAACCCGAUGCAAACUGCGAAUACCGGAGAAUGUUAUCACGGGAGACACACGGCGGGUGCUAACGUCCGUCGUGAAGAGGGAAACAACCCAGACCGCCAGCUAAGGUCCCAAAGUCAUGGUUAAGUGGGAAACGAUGUGGGAAGGCCCAGACAGCCAGGAUGUUGGCUUAGAAGCAGCCAUCAUUUAAAGAAAGCGUAAUAGCUCACUGGUCGAGUCGGCCUGCGCGGAAGAUGUAACGGGGCUAAACCAUGCACCGAAGCUGCGGCAGCGACGCUGAUGCGUUGUUGGGUAGGGGAGCGUUCUGUAAGCCUGCGAAGGUGUGCUGUGAGGCAUGCUGGAGGUAUCAGAAGUGCGAAUGCUGACAUAAGUAACGAUAAAGCGGGUGAAAAGCCCGCUCGCCGGAAGACCAAGGGUUCCUGUCCAACGUUAAUCGGGGCAGGGUGAGUCGACCCCUAAGGCGAGGCCGAAAGGCGUAGUCGAUGGGAAACAGGUUAAUAUUCCUGUACUUGGUGUUACUGCGAAGGGGGGACGGAGAAGGCUAUGUUGGCCGGGCGACGGUUGUCCCGGUUUAAGCGUGUAGGCUGGUUUUCCAGGCAAAUCCGGAAAAUCAAGGCUGAGGCGUGAUGACGAGGCACUACGGUGCUGAAGCAACAAAUGCCCUGCUUCCAGGAAAAGCCUCUAAGCAUCAGGUAACAUCAAAUCGUACCCCAAACCGACACAGGUGGUCAGGUAGAGAAUACCAAGGCGCUUGAGAGAACUCGGGUGAAGGAACUAGGCAAAAUGGUGCCGUAACUUCGGGAGAAGGCACGCUGAUAUGUAGGUGAAGUCCCUCGCGGAUGGAGCUGAAAUCAGUCGAAGAUACCAGCUGGCUGCAACUGUUUAUUAAAAACACAGCACUGUGCAAACACGAAAGUGGACGUAUACGGUGUGACGCCUGCCCGGUGCCGGAAGGUUAAUUGAUGGGGUUAGCGCAAGCGAAGCUCUUGAUCGAAGCCCCGGUAAACGGCGGCCGUAACUAUAACGGUCCUAAGGUAGCGAAAUUCCUUGUCGGGUAAGUUCCGACCUGCACGAAUGGCGUAAUGAUGGCCAGGCUGUCUCCACCCGAGACUCAGUGAAAUUGAACUCGCUGUGAAGAUGCAGUGUACCCGCGGCAAGACGGAAAGACCCCGUGAACCUUUACUAUAGCUUGACACUGAACAUUGAGCCUUGAUGUGUAGGAUAGGUGGGAGGCUUUGAAGUGUGGACGCCAGUCUGCAUGGAGCCGACCUUGAAAUACCACCCUUUAAUGUUUGAUGUUCUAACGUGGACCCGUAAUCCGGGUUGCGGACAGUGUCUGGUGGGUAGUUUGACUGGGGCGGUCUCCUCCUAAAGAGUAACGGAGGAGCACGAAGGUUGGCUAAUCCUGGUCGGACAUCAGGAGGUUAGUGCAAUGGCAUAAGCCAGCUUGACUGCGAGCGUGACGGCGCGAGCAGGUGCGAAAGCAGGUCAUAGUGAUCCGGUGGUUCUGAAUGGAAGGGCCAUCGCUCAACGGAUAAAAGGUACUCCGGG
rnacentral:rRNA from 1 species